CAAGAACACGCUGGUCACUGGAAGAAACAGCAGCGUCAGGCGGAGGAGGAACAGACGAGGCAGACAUAAUGAAAUAAUGGGUGACUCUGCCAACAACAUGAUUCUAUUUACUUCUACUCUGAGGAGGAAGGUGCUUCAGGAUCAGUGAAAGACAUGGACACUUGCCUCCCUACAUCCAUUCUCCUUUCUUUUUACUAACAGAUCCCCAAAUUGAUUUAGAGUAUAACUACCAUGAAGUAAACAGGUCUCCUCCACCAUGCCCUCCUGCCAUGAAGUACUUUCCUAUCACAGGCCCAAAGCAACAGAGCCAAGCAACCAUGAACUGAAAUCUCUGAAACUAUGAGCCAAAAUAAACCUUUCCUCCUUGUAAGUUUUCAUCUCACAGCAACAGAAAGCUGAUGCAGACACCUUGGCAGUGGGAGGGAAAGCUGCAA